rnacentral:rRNA from 1 species
AAAACGGAGAGUUUGAUCCUGGCUCAGGAUGAACGCUGGCGGUAUGCUUAACACAUGCAAGUCGAACGGGAUGCUUAGGCAUCUAGUGGCGGACGGGUGAGUAACGCGUGAGAAUCUGGCUCCAGGUCGGGGAUAACAGUUGGAAACGACUGCUAAUACCGGAUGUGCCGAGAGGUGAAAGAUUUAUCGCCUGGAGAUGAGCUCGCGUCUGAUUAGCUAGUUGGUGGUGUAAGGGACCACCAAGGCGUCGAUCAGUAGCUGGUCUGAGAGGAUGAUCAGCCACACUGGGACUGAGACACGGCCCAGACUCCUACGGGAGGCAGCAGUGGGGAAUUUUCCGCAAUGGGCGAAAGCCUGACGGAGCAAUACCGCGUGAGGGAGGAAGGCUCUUGGGUCGUAAACCUCUUUUCUCAAGGAAGAAGAAAGUGACGGUACUUGAGGAAUAAGCAUCGGCUAACUCCGUGCCAGCAGCCGCGGUAAUACGGAGGAUGCAAGCGUUAUCCGGAAUGAUUGGGCGUAAAGGGUCUGCAGGUGGAACUGAAAGUCUGCUGUUAAAGAGUUUGGCUUAACCAAAUAAAAGCGGUGGAAACUACAGAACUAGAGUGUGGUAGGGGCAAAAGGAAUUCCUGGUGUAGCGGUGAAAUGCGUAGAUAUCAGGAAGAACACCGGUGGCGAAAGCGUUUUGCUAGACCAUAACUGACACUGAGGGACGAAAGCUAGGGGAGCGAAUGGGAUUAGAUACCCCAGUAGUCCUAGCCGUAAACGAUGGAUACUAGGCGUGGCUUGUAUCGACCCGAGCCGUGCCGGAGCUAACGCGUUAAGUAUCCCGCCUGGGGAGUACGCACGCAAGUGUGAAACUCAAAGGAAUUGACGGGGGCCCGCACAAGCGGUGGAGUAUGUGGUUUAAUUCGAUGCAACGCGAAGAACCUUACCAAGACUUGACAUCCUGCGAAUCCCAGUGAAAGCUGGGAGUGCCUUAGGGAGCGCAGAGACAGGUGGUGCAUGGCUGUCGUCAGCUCGUGUCGUGAGAUGUUGGGUUAAGUCCCGCAACGAGCGCAACCCUCGUUUUUAGUUGCCAGCAUUAAGUUGGGCACUCUAGAGAGACUGCCGGUGACAAACCGGAGGAAGGUGAGGAUGACGUCAAGUCAGCAUGCCCCUUACGUCUUGGGCUACACACGUACUACAAUGCUACGGACAGAGGGCAGCGAGCCAGGGAUGGCAAGCGAAUCCAGAAACCGUAGCUCAGUUCAGAUCGAAGGCUGCAACUCGCCUUCGUGAAGGAGGAAUCGCUAGUAAUUGCAGGUCAGCAUACUGCAGUGAAUUCGUUCCCGGGCCUUGUACACACCGCCCGUCACACCAUGGAAGUUGGUCACGCCCGAAGUCAUUACCCCAACCGAAAGGAGGGGGAUGCCUAAGGUAGGACUGGUGACUGGGGUGAAGUCGUAACAAGGUAGCCGUACCGGAAGGUGUGGCUGGAUCACCUCCUUUU